rnacentral:rRNA from 1 species
UACAGAGGUGGCAAGCGUUGUUCGGAAUUACUGGGCGUAAAGGGCGCGUAGGCGGCCUUCUAAGUCAGACGUGAAAUCCCCCGGCUUAACCUGGGAACUGCGUCUGAUACUGGGAGGCUCGAGUAUGGGAGAGGGAUGUAGAAUUCCAGGUGUAGCGGUGAAAUGCGUAGAUAUCUGGAGGAACACCGGUGGCGAAGGCGGCGUUCUGGACUGUAACUGACACUGAGAAACGAAAGCCAGGGUAGCAAACGGG